rnacentral:rRNA from 1 species
GACGAACGCUGGCGGCGUGCUUAACACAUGCAAGUCGAACGGAAAGGCCCUGCUUUUGUGGGGUGCUCGAGUGGCGAACGGGUGAGUAACACGUGAGUAACCUGCCCUUGACUUUGGGAUAACUUCAGGAAACUGGGGCUAAUACCGGAUAGGAGCUCCUGCUGCAUGGUGGGGGUUGGAAAGUUUCGGCGGUUGGGGAUGGACUCGCGGCUUAUCAGCUUGUUGGUGGGGUAGUGGCUUACCAAGGCUUUGACGGGUAGCCGGCCUGAGAGGGUGACCGGCCACAUUGGGACUGAGAUACGGCCCAGACUCCUACGGGAGGCAGCAGUGGGGAAUAUUGCAAAAUGGGCGGAAGCCUGAUGCAGCAACGCCGCGUGCGGGAUGACGGCCUUCGGGUUGUAAACCGCUUUCGCCUGUGACGAAGCGUGAGUGACGGUAAUGGGUAAAGAAGCACCGGCUAACUACGU